rnacentral:rRNA from 1 species
AUUGAACGCUGGCGGCAUGCCUUACACAUGCAAGUCGAACGGUAGCAGGUCUUCGGAUGCUGACGAGUGGCGAACGGGUGAGUAAUACAUCGGAACGUGCCCGAGAGUGGGGGAUAACGAGGCGAAAGCUUUGCUAAUACCGCAUACGAUCUCAGGAUGAAAGCAGGGGACCGCAAGGCCUUGCGCUCACGGAGCGGCCGAUGGCUGAUUAGGUAGUUGGGGGGGUAAAAGCUCACCAAGCCGACGGUCAGUAGCUGGUCUGAGAGGACGACCAGACAGACUGGGACUGAGACACGGCCACGACUCCUGCGGGAGGCAGCAGUGGGGAAUUUUGGACAAUGGGCGCAAGCCUGAUCCAGCCAUGCCGCGUGCGGGAAGAAGGCCUUCGGGUUGUAAACCGCUUUUGGCAGGAACGAAACGGCGCAAGCCAAUACCUUGCGCUAAUGACGGUACCUGCAGAAUAAGCACCGGCUAACUACGUGCCAGCCGCCGCCGUAAAAC